rnacentral:rRNA from 1 species
UACAGAGGUCUCGAGCGUUAGGCGGAAUCACUGGGCUUAAAGCGUGUGUAGGCGGAUCGGUAAGUACCUUGUGAAAUCCCACAGCUUAACUGUGGAACUGCUUGGUAUACUGCCAGUCUUGAGCCAGCUAGGGGCGACCGGAACAAAUGGUGGAGCGGUGAAAUGCGUAGAUAUCAUUUGGAACGCCAAUGGUGAAAACAGGUCGCUGGGGCUGUGCUGACGCUGAGACACGAAAGCCAGGGGAGCAAACGGG